UACGUAGGGUGCAAGCGUUGUCCGGAAUUAUUGGGCGUAAAGAGCUCGUAGGCGGUCUGUCACGUCGGCUGUGAAAACCCGAGGCUCAACCUCGGGCCUGCAGUCGAUACGGGCAAACUAGAGUACUGCAGGGGAGACUGGAAUUCCUGGUGUAGCGGUGAAAUGCGCAGAUAUCAGGAGGAACACCGGUGGCGAAGGCGGGUCUCUGGGCAGUAACUGACGCUGAGGAGUGAAAGCGUGGGGAGCAAACAGG
rnacentral:rRNA from 1 species